UACGUAGGGGGCAAGCGUUGUCCGGAUUUAUUGGGCGUAAAGAGCGUGUAGGCGGUCAGGUAGGUCCGUUGUGAAAACUCGAGGCUCAACCUCGAGACGCCGAUGGAAACCAUCUGACUAGAGUCCGGAAGAGGAGAGUGGAAUUCCUGGUGUAGCGGUGAAAUGCGCAGAUAUCAGGAAGAACACCCGUGGCUAAGGCGGCUCUCUAGUACGGUACUGACGCUGAGACGCGAAAGCGUGGGGAGCGAACAGGAUUGAGAC
rnacentral:rRNA from 1 species